CACGUAGGCACCAAGCGUUGUCCGGAUUUAUUGGGCGUAAAGAGCUCGUAGGCGGUUGAGUAAGUCGGGUGUGAAAACUCUGGGCUUAACCCAGAGCCGCCACCCGAUACUGCUCUGACUUGAGUUCGGUAGGGGAGCAGGGGAAUUCCUAGUGUAGCGGUGAAAUGCGCAGAUAUUAGGAGGAACACCGGUGGCGGAAGGCGCUGCUCUGGGCCGAGUACUGACGCUGAGGAGCGAAAGCGUGGGUAGCAAACAGG
rnacentral:rRNA from 1 species